CUGGAGGCGCUGGAUUCAUAACAAUGUUCUCUGCCUAGAAAGCAAGUACAGUAGGGGCAGUAACAACCUUCCCCACUCCCCCCAUCAAUGUGCCUCAAUCUUAACUUGGAGGGACUGACUCUAGGAGGUUGUGUUCCUCUCUGUUCCCAUCCAUUCCUAAACCCUU
rnacentral:sRNA from 1 species